ACUCCUACGGGAGGCAGCAGUAGGGAAUCUUCCGCAAUGGACGAAAGUCUGACGGAGCAACGCCGCGUGAACGAUGAAGGUUUUCGGAUCGUAAAGUUCUGUUGUUAGGGAAGAACACGUACCGUUCGAGUAGGGCGGUAUCUUGACGGUACCUAACGAGAAAGCCCCGGCUAACUACGUGCCAGCAGCCGCGGUAAUACGUAGGGGGCAAGCGUUGUCCGGAAUUAUUGGGCGUAAAGCGCGCGCAGGCGGUCUUUUAAGUCUGAUGUGAAAUCUUGCGGCUCAACCGCAAGCGGUCAUUGGAAACUGGAAGACUUGAGUGCAGAAGAGGAGAGUGGAAUUCCAUGUGUAGCGGUGAAAUGCGUAGAUAUAUGGAGGAACACCAGUGGCGAAGGCGACUCUCUGGUCUGUAACUGACGCUGAGGCGCGAAAGCGUGGGGAGCAAACAGGAUUAGAUACCCUGGUAGUCCACGCCGUAAACGAUGAGUGCUAGGUGUUAGGGGGUUUCCGCCCCUUAGUGCUGCAGUUAACGCAUUAAGCACUCCGCCUGGGGAGUACGGCCGCAAGGCUGAAACUCAAAGGAAUUGACGG
rnacentral:rRNA from 1 species